rnacentral:piRNA from 2 species
AAUGAUCUUUAGUGUGGGUGGUUUUGUGU